AUUGAACGCUGGCGGCAGGCCUAACACAUGCAAGUCGAGCGAGCGGCGCACGGGUGAGUAAUGUUUGGGGACUGCCCGUGAUAGGGGGAUAACUACUGGAAACGGUGGCUAAAACCGCAUACUGUAGGAUAACCCAUAUGGGAGUAGCUAGUAGGUAAGGUAAUGGCUUACCUCGUCGACGAUCCCUAGCUGGGCUGAGAGGAUGAUCAGCCACACUGGGACUGAGACACGGCCCAGACUCCUACGGAGGCAGCAGUGGGGAAGAUUGCGCAAUGGGCGCAAGCCUGAUGCAGCCAUGCCGCGUGUAUGAAGAAGGCCUUAGGGUUGUAAAGUACUGUCAGUCGGGAGGCGUUACCAACAGAAGAAGCACCGGCUAACUCCGUGCCAGCAGCCGCGGUAAUAC
rnacentral:rRNA from 1 species